rnacentral:rRNA from 1 species
AGAGUUUGAUCCUGGCUCAGGAUGAACGCUAGCGGCAGGCCUAACACAUGCAAGUCGAGGGAGAAGCCUUCGGGCUGAAACCGGCGCACGGGUGCGUAACGCGUAUACAAUCUGCCUUUCACAUAGGGAUAGCCCGAAGAAAUUUGGAUUAAUACCUAAUGGUAUAUAGGAGCGGCAUCGUUUUUAUAUUAAAGCUACGGUGGUGAAAGAUGAGUAUGCGUUCUAUUAGCUAGUUGGAGAGGUAACGGCUCCCCAAGGCGACGAUAGAUAGGGGUUCUGAGAGGGAUGUCCCCCACACUGGUACUGAGAUACGGACCAGACUCCUACGGGAGGCAGCAGUGAGGAAUAUUGGACAAUGGUCGGAAGACUGAUCCAGCCAUGCCGCGUGCAGGAAGACGGCCUUAUGGGUUGUAAACUGCUUUUGCAGGGGAAGAAUAAGGACUACGCGUAGUUUGAUGACGGUACUCUGCGAAUAAGCAUCGGCUAACUCCGUGCCAGCAGCCGCGGUAAUACGGAGGAUGCGAGCGUUAUCCGGAAUCAUUGGGUUUAAAGGGUCUGUAGGCGGGCUUGUAAGUCAGAGGUGAAAGCGCUUAGCUCAACUAAGCAACUGCCUUUGAAACUGUUGGUCUUGAAUGGUUGUGAAGUAGUUGGAAUGUGUAGUGUAGCGGUGAAAUGCUUAGAUAUUACACAGAACACCGAUAGCGAAGGCAUAUUACUAACAAUUAAUUGACGCUGAUGGACGAAAGCGUGGGGAGCGAACAGGAUUAGAUACCCUGGUAGUCCACGCU